rnacentral:lncRNA from 1 species
CACAAGCAGGGGGAGUAGCAGAGAGAGAGAGAGAGAGAGAGAGAGAGAGAAGAGAAGCAAACUCCCCACUGGGCAGGGAGACCAAUGCCGGGCUCAGUCCCAAGACUCCAGGAUCAUGACCUGAGCCAAAGGCAGACGCGAAAGCGACUGAGCCACCCACGUGCCCCGAGAAAUCAUUUUUUUAAAUAUUGUAUUUAUUUAUUUUUAAGUAGGCUCCACGUGCGAGUGGGACUUGAACACAGGACCCCGUUCUACAGCUUACAUGCUAUGAGGCUAAAAGGCUAAAUGUCAAGUGAGGCCGGGCUGUGGUUCCCCACGCCCUGGCCCCAGCCAGCCUGGAGGGUCCCGCAGUGACGACGUGAGAGGAGCCUCCUGGGCCCUGGGACGACUCAGCGCCAGCCCCCGGCGCCAGCCCCACGCCCGGUUCCCGGGCGCCCCCCUAGGCGGGCCACAGCGAGAGGCCGAGGGCGCCUGGCCUGCAGCCAGGUUCCGCCGCCCGCCGCGCUCUAGGGCUCCGCGCGCGGAGGGGCGGGCCAUUCAAAUUAGGAAGGGCCUUGCGGGGCCGGCGACGACGCGACGACGGACGCAUCGUUUGUCUUUUAAAAGGAAGAGACUUUACAAAGCCGCACGAGAGCCUAGCGGCUAGUGCCGCCCGUGCCACGGUGGGAGAAGCGGGGGAGCGAGACGUGGCCGGAGCGGGAGCCGAGUCACCAGGCGGGCCCCCUUCAGGCUGCUGGACAGUCUGCUGCCUGAACUCAAGAAAGGCCUCCUCGAUGCUAUGUGCCAAGACCGAAAUGAAAGAGACAGACAGGCCUCCUACCCCGAGAAGUCUUUUUUGUCUUUUAAAGCUUGAUUUAGGGCAGCCCCGGUGUCCUAGUGGUUUAGCGCCACCUGCAGCCAGGCGUGUGAUCCUGGAGACCCGAGAUCGAGUCCCAUGUCGGGCUCCCUGCAUGGGGCUUGCUUCUCCCUCUGCCUGUGUCUCUGCCUCUCUCUCUCUCUGUGACUAUCAUAAAUAAAU